AUGGGAUGUUCUGAAGAUUAAUGUGUCUCUUUCAGGGCACUAAGGUACAUUUAGAGCACUAAAGAAGUCAUUUACUAAAUGGUGCCCUUGGGACUUGAAAGAGUUAAUGUACCUCUCACAAGUCCUUUCUUAUCUACUUCCUAUUCCAUAAAGUGGAUGUUUCUCUCCAGAAGUCAAGUGAAUAAGGUAUUUUCCCUAAUUACUCCUCAUAACUUAUUUUUAGUAUUUUAUACCAACAGAAAGAAAAAAUAAAUUCAGAAACCUAAUGUGUAAAUGAGUUGACAUAUAGUUCUAUCUAAAACUCAAUUAAUAUGAAACAGCAACUUUUACCAAGAAAAAUUAUUCUUACUUUUGAAAUUAGAAAUAUAAACCAAGUUAGUAUUGAAUAGUGGUUUAAACUGUAGGUACUGAAGUUUGGGGUGGAAUCAUAUCUGAGCACAUAGCUCUCCAAGAUUUAGUUUUGCAAGUGUUAUAAAACAGAGAUGCAAGUCUGGCAUGUUUUCUAAUUUGGGUAGAGGAAGUUUGGGGGAUUUUUCCUAAGAAUAUUUUAUUCUUAGAGAAUAAAGUGAACAGUAGCCAUACAAUUAGUUUCUAGAAAAACAAAUUUGUACAAAACUUUUGUAUUUCAUAUAUUAAAUAAAAAAGUUAAUAUGAGAAAUUUGAUUUAAAAAUUUAGUAAUGAUUUUCUAACUUUACAUACUUGAACUAAUCACUUUCCAACUUCUGAAAUAUGGAGAGCAAGGAAAAAUAAUCAAGUUUGUGUUUUCUAGAUCAACUGCCAUAACAAAUUAUUAUUAUAUUUAGAAAUAUAUUUGAAUCUAAACAUAUACAAGAGGAUAAUCUGGAUCUUUUAUGGUAAGAAAAAUAUUUUAAAUGGACUAUCCAGGUAAGUGAAUUAAAUUAUACACUAUGUAUAAAAUGGGCACUAAAUCUGCUCAAAACAUCUAUCAACUCCAGAGACAUCCUGAAAAGAAUCACUAGGUUAAGAGUCACCCCACAGGUCUAGCCUAGUCUCUGUUCCUUCUUAGAUCCCUUUCUGCAGUAUCAAAGGUUGACAUCAGUUAUUGAGAGCAAUGUUUUUCUUUGUCUUAGUGAUACUAUAACCUACUCCACAGACCCUCAACUUUUUUCUUUCUGGGUGAAGUAGAAAUAAGCUUGACCAUCAAAGUUUGCAGACAAGUCCGUCUUUCUCAUGCCAAGAGUAGCCACAGAUGUAUCCUGUUCUAUGGUGAAGCUAGAACAGAAAUCCCUUGGGAAGGUGCUAGGUUUCAAGAACCUGCUAGACAUAUUGGUUGUUGGGCCACUGUGAUACAUGUAGCAACAAUAAUAUUUAUAUUUCACAUUUUCUUCAUAAAAAUUCUCUUUGUGGAAAAAAAGGAGAACAUUUUAUAAUUCCUAUUUUAAUUCUUUCCAAUAUAUAUUAUUCAUGGAAAUGAAAAUUUUAAUGACUCUGAUUUUAUUUAACCUCAUGCAUAUAAGCAUUUGACAAUUUUCCUCUAUGAAGAAAAUGUAUCCAUCAACAAGUACUGUGCAUACAUCUUAUUUCUUCACAAUUAAAGUUUAACUAAAAGCAAAAGCUACUAAUGCAUGGCUAAUUUUACAAUGCAAGCAGAUGUUGUUGUUAGAAGAACAUCUUCCAUUGUUAGCCUCUGGCUCCAGUGACUGCCAUCCAAAGAAUGCAGGGGAAGAAACAAUUUGGAGAGCAAGAGAUGCCGUUUGCUAGGGGCACAGAACACGACAGCCAGUUGGAAGUCAUUAAAUUAUAAGUGCCUAACAUCCUGUAACCCUGUAAAGAAGCUUGAGAUAGGUUCCAUGAGGGCAAGAGACCACUGGAAAGAGACACCCAACCAAGAAGGCACCAGAUGCCCAGUGUGUGUGUAGAGUUUUGGAUGGACCAUCUGGCCUGCCUUACUAGAGGCACCAGAUAACUGCAGCUAAGUAUAUGACUCAGCAGAUGCAGCUGCAUUUCUGACAAGAGUUCUUGGCCACCCCUGCUCUGUCUCCAUCCAGAAUAGUUCUUGUGGGGCACACUGCUCAGAUAUGAUAUAAAGGUAUUGGAAAGAAAACCUCUCUUAUGGAAACAGCAACAAAUUCCAAACUAUCUGGGUAGCACAAGGAAUUUACUCUCCUUCAACUUAAAGAAUUGUUGCUUUAUGGCCAUUUUCCUUGAGUUUAUUGAUUUCAUAUGCAGUUUUUUUUUACAAUGACAUAAUGCAUCUGGGCUUCAUGCACAGAGACAGAAAGGAUAACUAACAUUGGUGUCAUCUGUCAACCCAAAGUAAUCAAUGGCACCUGGUCUCUACUUAGAAGUGCAAAGCAUCAAGGAGCAAAGUCUCUUCAAUCAAAGUGCCUCAAGGACAAGAAAGGUAAGGAUGUUGCAGAAGAGAAAAAAACAAAAAUAAGAAAAAAAUCCUAAUGUUAAA